AGGGCGUCCGUCAGUGCCGAGGCUGAGUGUGUGCGUGCGUGCGAAGCGGGACUUUUAGCAGGAUGAUACCACAGCAGGACCGUGGCACCUGAGACACAGGAAGUUGAAGCACUGUCCAUACACCUCACACGUCACAUGGAACAACGUCACAGUGGUGCCUCGCAGCAGUCCUCCAUGUUCUCCUCCAUCUGCCUCCUGUCCAUUGAUCAGCCUUCCAGGGGGCAUCAGUCUGUUUAACAUCUGCUUCGAGUUGCAGAG